rnacentral:lncRNA from 1 species
GAACGCUUCUUUCAACAGCAGCAACAGUUAGUCAGACACCUCGGUAGCUUGCUAGACAAAAUAGCCAAACCAAUAAAGCUCUUUAGACGCUUUUGUGUUUAUUAGCCACUGUGUUUUAAACCCACUUCUGUUGUCUAGUUAAUUAUCCGAUUUAAUUUCAUAUUUACUUGGUUGUUUUUGGUCAAAUAGCUGCCUGGUUAAGUUAGCACUAGCCAAGCUAGCUAACAUCCCCGACCAUGAGGUCACUAAGUUACUCUCCUGUUAAAGAAGUGAAAGAGGAGGAGGAAGGAGGAUGUUACAAUACAAAAACAAGUAGAGGGUGAGGCUGUUACAGUGAAAGAAGAAGAGAAAGACGUUUCAGUGAAAGAAGAGAAAGAUGCGUUCAGAGUGAAAGAGGAGGAGGAUGUUACAGUAAAAGAAGAGACACACGAGACUGGGGAAAUAUAGGACCAAGCACCGAGAAUGUAAAAUUGGCUGGUGCUGGUGGCCUUCCUCUCCUCUGAAGACCCACUGAGGGUGGAGCUCAGUCAGAGAGCUGUUGAGGGACUGGUUAGGAAGAACACUUCUACAGCCAGAGAGGGGCAGUCAAAAGCAGAGCUGUGGGAGACCACCUCAAUCCCCUGGUAGAGCCGGAGGUGGUGUUUACCACUCCACCACACCUGCAGCAGGCUUGAAACGUGGGAUUGAUACUGAUUUUCAUACUAAGAGGGACCAAGAGUCUGUUGAUUGGUCAGUCAUUGGGUUCAUUUGUUGAAAUCAAAUCCAGCUUUAUUUAUACAGCACAUUUCAGACAUGGAUGCAACACAAUGGCUUCACAGGAAAAAACAAGUAAAGUAAUGAAAAGAAACAGAAAUAUUUAGUACACAACAAACAGAAGACUAACAACUGAAUGGGCACCCCAAGGAAAUGCCAUGGAUUAAAAUAUUAAUUGGAUGCAAUAUCCAACCCAAAAUACAAGCUUGUUGUUUUUUUAGGAGGGGCUCUGAAAGACUAUGGGAGUGUCCACUGAAUCUUGACAAGUAACAACAACUGGGACCGAAAAGACACCCACUAAAUCUGUCCAUGAAGAGGCAAACAAAAGAAAAACCCACAACAAACUUAGACAGGACGCAACCAAAAAGGUGGUUAAAAUAAUUUAUUACAAUCAAUACCAUUCAUACUAUUACAAAAUCAUAAUUCUCAUUCAUUCUUAAUUAAUUAUAUUUACAAAAACAUCAAACAAAAACAAACCUCAGGGGAGCAUCGUCCCUCCCCGUCAUACCUAACCAAUACCUAACCCUUUCCCUAUCUCCCCUUCCCUAAUCUAUCCCCUUMCCAAACUCACUCUAACACUCCCAGCCCUAAACCCCCUUUCCACCUCUCCCGUGCCGCAUGCUUCCCCCACUUCCUCUCCUCCCUCUUCAUCUUCCCCCUCAAAUCACCU